rnacentral:rRNA from 2 species
CUGAGCGACCCGAGAGCGAAAUCGUUUAACGCGCGUGCUCCGACAGACUUUUCUUUCUUAAGAGUUUUGAUAUGGCUCAGGACGAACGCUGGCGGCGUGCCUAAUACAUGCAAGUCGAGCGGAUCUUCAUUAGCUUGCUUUUGAAGAUCAGCGGCGGACGGGUGAGUAACACGUGGGCAACCUGCCUGUAAGACUGGGAUAACUUCGGGAAACCGGAGCUAAUACCGGAUAAUCCUUUCCCUCACAUGAGGGAAAGCUGAAAGACGGUUUCGGCUGUCACUUACAGAUGGGCCCGCGGCGCAUUAGCUAGUUGGUGAGGUAACGGCUCACCAAGGCAACGAUGCGUAGCCGACCUGAGAGGGUGAUCGGCCACACUGGGACUGAGACACGGCCCAGACUCCUACGGGAGGCAGCAGUAGGGAAUCUUCCGCAAUGGACGAAAGUCUGACGGAGCAACGCCGCGUGAACGAUGAAGGCUUUCGGGUCGUAAAGUUCUGUUGUUAGGGAAGAACAAGUACCGGAGUAACUGCCGGUACCUUGACGGUACCUAACCAGAAAGCCACGGCUAACUACGUGCCAGCAGCCGCGGUAAUACGUAGGUGGCAAGCGUUGUCCGGAAUUAUUGGGCGUAAAGCGCGCGCAGGCGGUUCCUUAAGUCUGAUGUGAAAGCCCCCGGCUCAACCGGGGAGGGUCAUUGGAAACUGGGGAACUUGAGUGCAGAAGAGGAGAGCGGAAUUCCACGUGUAGCGGUGAAAUGCGUAGAGAUGUGGAGGAACACCAGUGGCGAAGGCGGCUCUCUGGUCUGUAACUGACGCUGAGGCGCG